rnacentral:rRNA from 1 species
GACAGAGGAUGCAAACGUUGCUCGGAAUUACUGGGCGUAAAGCGCACGUAGGCGGAUAUUUAAGUCAGGGGUGAAAUCCCAGAGCUCAACUCUGGAACUGCCUUUGAUACUGGGUAUCUUGAGUAUGGAAGAGGUGAGUGGAAUUCCGAGUGUAGAGGUGAAAUUCGUAGAUAUUCGGAGGAACACCAGUGGCGAAGGCGGCUCACUGGUCCAUUACUGACGCUGAGGUGCGAAAGCGUGGGGAGCAAACAGG